GGUGGCACAGUGGUUAAGUGCUCAGCUACUAACUGAAUGGUUGGUGGUUCAAAUCCACCAGCCA
rnacentral:tRNA from 1 species